rnacentral:rRNA from 1 species
CCUACGGGAGGCAGCAGUGAGGAAUAUUGGACAAUGGAGGCAACUCUGAUCCAGCCAUGCCGCGUGCAGGAAGACUGCCCUAUGGGUUGUAAACUGCUUUUAUACAGGAAGAAACACCUCUACGUGUAGAGAUUUGACGGUACUGUAAGAAUAAGGAUCGGCUAACUCCGUGCCAGCAGCCGCGGUAAUACGGAGGAUCCAAGCGUUAUCCGGAAUCAUUGGGUUUAAAGGGUCCGUAGGUGGAUAAUUAAGUCAGAGGUGAAAUCCUGCAGCUUAACUGUAGAAUUGCCUUUGAUACUGGUUGUCUUGAGUUAUUAUGAAGUGGUUAGAAUAUGUAGUGUAGCGGUGAAAUGCAUAGAUAUUACAUAGAAUACCAAUUGCGAAGGCAGAUCACUAAUAAUAUACUGACACUGAUGGACGAAAGCGUGGGGAGCGAACAGG